rnacentral:sRNA from 1 species
UGGUAGAUGCACCCUGAUAACUGACUCCCCUGGCUAGCUUUUAGCUAGUAGGGGUCUUUUUU